GACGAACGCUGGCGGCGUGCUUAACACAUGCAAGUCGAACGAUGAAGAAGAGAAACGCGAACUUCGGUUCAAAUUUCACUUCGGAUUAGUGGCAGACGGGUGAGUAACGCGUGAGCAACCUACCUCUUACAAAGGGAUAGCCUCGGGAAACCGUGAUUAAUACCAUAUGACACAUUCAUAAGGCAUCUUAAGAAUGUUAAAGCUACGGCGGUAAGAGAUGGGCUCGCGUCCCAUUAGCUAGUUGGUGAGGUAACGGCCCACCAAGGCGACGAUGGGUAACCGGACUGAGAGGGUGAACGGUCACAGUGGAACUGAGACACGGUCCAAACUCCUACGGGAGGCAGCAGUGGGGAAUACUGCACAAUGGAGGGAACUCUGAUGCAGCGACGCCGCGUGAGCGAUGAAGGAAUUCGUUUCGUAAAGCUCUGUUCUAUGGGAAGAAAAGGACUGUACCAUAGGAGAAAGCCCCGGCUAAAUACGUG
rnacentral:rRNA from 1 species